AUGUCAGUGCGGCGACGGUCGGAGAGCACGGAGGGUCUGUUCUUAUUCGACGAGCGAAAAGACCGGAGGUCAGACGUGGAGAACUCAGAGGAUGAGAGGAGAAGGCUGUCCAUUGGCGGGUCACUUAAGAAGAAAGCGCUGAAUGCAUCAAGCAAGCUCACACAUUCGCUCAAGAAGCGGGGGAAGAGGAAGGUGGAGCAUCGGGCUUCUUCCUUCACCAUUGAAGACGUCAGAGAUGAGGAGGAGGAACGCGCCGUGUUCACAUUUCAGCAAGAGCUUUUGAGCAGGAACUUGCUAUGCGACAAGCAAAAUGACUAUCACAUGUUGCUGAGGUUUUUGAAGGCAAGGAAAUUUGACACUGAGAAAGCCAUUCAUAUGUGGGCUGAGAUGCUCCAAUGGAGAAAAGAAUUCGGUGCGGAUACAAUACUCGAGGAUUUCGUUUUUGAAGAGCUAGACGAGGUGCUUUCCUACUAUCCUCAGGGUUACCAUGGAGUUGACAGGCAAGGAAGACCAGUAUACAUCGAGAGAUUAGGGAAAGUUGAUCCAAAUAAACUGAUGAACAUCACUACUGUUGACCGCUACAUCAAGUACCAUGUGCAAGAGUUUGAGAGAGCCUUCUUGGACAAGUUUCCAGCAUGCUCUAUCGCGGCAAAAAGGCAUAUUGGUUCUACAACCACUAUACUAGAUGUUGAAGGCGUGGGUUUCAAGAACUUCAGCAAAACAGCAAGGGAAAUGUUAACUAGAAUGCAAAAGAUAGACAGUGAUUAUUAUCCUGAGACACUGCAUCAGAUGUUUGUUGUAAAUGCUGGCGGUGGUUUCAAGCUACUAUGGAAUUCAGUGAAAGGUUUUCUUGACCCUAAAACAGUCUCAAAGAUACAUGUUUUGGGAACAAAAUUCCAAAGCAAACUUCUUGAAGUAAUAGAUGGAAGCCAACUUCCUGAAUUUUUGGGUGGAACAUGCACUUGUGCUGGUGAGGCAGGAUGCCUGAAGUCUAACAAAGGUCCAUGGAAUGAUCCUAACAUUAUGAAGGUUGCACAUAACAAGGAAGCAAAAUUUUCAAGGCAUACAAGACGCUUAUCUGAGAUCGAGCAACGAAGGGGUUCAUUUGCUAGGCUACAUCUUUUGAAGGGUAGAAACAGUGACACGUCAACAGCUGAGUCAGGAUCAGAUGUUGAUGAUCUGGGUUCUCCUAUGAUGAGAAGCACAUUAGGGUGCAGUCGAUUAGCUCCAGUUCGUGAAGAAAUGCAGAUGAGAGCACGAGAGUCUGCAGCUUACUACAGUUGCGAUGAUCACUUUGUUGUGGUGGACAAAACAGUCGAUUAUGGCAGAGGAGGAUCAGUGCCAGAUAAAACCUGUGCCUCAGAAGUAAGAGUUCAAGCCCGGCGUUUAGGCACCGACACAACACAAAGCAUUCCAGAUUCUUCAAGAAACAGCCGUGGUAUACUAGUACCCAAAGAGAUGCCGGAGGAAGGGAAAUUCUAUCGAUUUCUCAGAUUACUGCUGGUUCUGGUUGUUAGAGUUUUUACCUUCUUACGCACAGUAUGCAGUCAGCCAGAGAUAACGAUGGUCAACAACCCACUACCUCCAGCUCCUGAGUUUGAACCCAUCUCUGGUGAGCAUCCCGCACUGGAAGCAUUCAGUGUGGACUGUGUCAGGCCUGUCAUUGAGCGCCUUCAGAAGCUCGAGGGUCAGGUUGAUGAGCUCGGAAGCAAGCCCCCAGAGAUUCCCCUGGAAAAAGAACGCUCCCUCUUGGACUCAUGGGAUAGGAUCAAAUGUAUCGAAUCUGACCUCGAAAGGACAAAGAAAGUUCUGCAGGCUACUGUGAUGAAGCAACUAGAAAUUGCAGACUCAGUAGAGGAAGUUAUCUUGUCAAAGCUGCACAGGCGAAGAUUUUGUGCGUAA
rnacentral:rRNA from 1 species